GUCCUGUUUCAAUUUCUAUCCUGAUCAGAAUUGACUGGAGUACGUAAGGAAAAGGUAAGGUUAACCGCUAUC
rnacentral:rRNA from 1 species